rnacentral:rRNA from 1 species
GAUGAACGCUGGCGGCGUGCCUAAUACAUGCAAGUCGAACGAACAGACGCUGCGCUUGUUCCUUUGACGUUUGCCGCACGCGGGUGUGUCACACGUGUAUCACCUACCUGUCUUUCUGGUAUCAUUUCGGGAAACGGGCUCUUAUACCGGAUGAUCUCUUGCUGCAUAUUGUUCAAUGGUGAAAGUCGGCUUUUCUGUCACUACUCGCUGGAUAUGCGCCGCAUUAGCUAGUUGUUAAGGUAACGGCGUACCAAGGCAAGGAUGCGUAGCCGACCUGCGAGGGUGGUCGGCGACACGGGAACUGAGACACGGUCCAGACUCCUACGGGAGGCAGCAGAAGGGAAUCUGACGCAAUGGGCGAAAGCCUGACGGAGCAGCGCCGCGUGAGUGACGAAGGUCUUCGGAUCGUAAAACUCUGUUAUUAGGGAAGAACAAAUGUGUAAGUAACUAUGCACGUCUUGACGGUACCUAAUCAGAAAGCAACGGCUAACUACGUG